rnacentral:rRNA from 1 species
CUGGGUAGUCCAGCUGUAAACGAUGCAGACUCGGUGAUGCAUUGGCUUGUGGCCAAUGCAGUGCCGCAGGGAAGCCGUUAAGUCUGCCGCCUGGGAAGUACGUACGCAAGUAUGAAACUUAAAGGAAUUGGCGGGGGAGCACCACAAGGGGUGAAGCCUGCGGUC